rnacentral:rRNA from 1 species
CAGGGAUUGCCUUAGUAGCGGCGAGUGAAGCGGCAAAAGCUCAAAUUUGAAAUCUGGCACCUUCGGUGUCCGAGUUGUAAUUUGAAGAUUGUAACCUUGGGGUUGGCUCUUGUCUAUGUUUCUUGGAACAGGACGUCACAGAGGGUGAGAAUCCCGUGCGAUGAGAUGCCCAAUCCUAUGUAAGGUGCUUUCGAAGAGUCGAGUUGUUUGGGAAUGCAGCUCUAAGUGGGUGGUAAAUUCCAUCUAAAGCUAAAUAUUGGCGAGAGACCGAUAGCGAACAAGUACAGUGAUGGAAAGAUGAAAAGAACUUUGAAAAGAGAGUGAAAAAGUACGUGAAAUUGUUGAAAGGGAAGGGUUUGAGAUCAGACUCGAUAUUUUGUGAGCCUUGCCUUCGUGGCGGGGUGACCCGCAGCUUAUCGGGCCAGCAUCGGUUUGGGCGGUAGGAUAAUGGCGUAGGAAUGUGACUUUGCUUCGGUGAAGUGUUAUAGCCUGCGUUGAUGCUGCCUGCCUAGACCGAGG